CCAAUAGCGUAUAUUAAAGUUGUUGCAGUUAAAAAGCUCGUAGUUGAAUUUCGGGAUCAAUAUGUUGGUCGUGCCUUUGGUACGUACUGGCAUUAUUGGUUUCUACCUUCUGAAGAACCUCGAUGUCAUUAAUUUGUUGUCUUGGGGAAUCAGGCCUGUUACUUUGAAAAAAUUAGAGUGUUUAAAGCAGGCUCGCGCUUGAAUACAUUAGCAUGGAAUAAUGAAAUAGGACGUUUGAUUCUAUUUUGUUGGUUUCUAGGAUCGACGUAAUGAUUAAUAGGGAUAGUUGGGGGCAUUAGUAUUCAAUUGUCAGAGGUGAAAUUCUUGGAUUUAUUGAAGACUAACUACUGCGAAAGCAUUUGCCAAGGAUGUUUUCAUUAAUCAAGAACGAAAGUUAGGGGAUCGAAGACGAUCAGAUACCGUCGUAGUCUUAACCAUAAACUAUGCCGACUAGGGAUCGGAUGAUGUUAAUUUUUUAAUGACUCAUUCGGCGCCUUACG
rnacentral:rRNA from 1 species